rnacentral:lncRNA from 1 species
GGUACAGGCUGGGAUUGUAGUCCUGCAGCCUUGUGGCCGAAGGGCUGGGACUGGCCAUGAGAUUACAUGUCCUAGCAUGCUCAGCCAGGCGCGCGCAGCUCUGCCCCUUCCUCCAGUGAUGCGCACAGUCCCUGAUCCCUGUGCACGCUGGGAUUGUAGUCCUGCAGCCCUGCGAUCACUUGCAGGUAACAAGAAAUUUCAGCUUCCGGCAUGAUGGGCGAAGGCCCCCACCUUCAGCCUCGCUCCUCCAUGCCUUCAGAGCUGUUCCGCCAUGCAGACGGGGAGCCUGCCUGUUCUUUAACCUCUCCUACCUGAUGGGAGAGGACAAGCUACCAGGACAGCUUGUCUCACCAAGAAAUUGUGAUACCGCAUCCCCCAACGUGCUGGCUUCCUGACUUCCAAAGUUGCGGCAAGGUAAGAAGAACUACAGAGGAAGAACCUAAUGCAGACGUUUCCCAGGAGACUUUAACUGAAGUAUCAGCAAACUGAAAGGUAACGAGAGAAUCUUGUGCCUCUGAGGGUGUCUUUCCCAUGGAUCCCUGCUCAGUUGCCUUUCACGGGCCCCCUGAUUUGCGUGAACUCCUGACCUCAGAUGAUCCGCCUGCCUUGGCCCUCCAAAGUGCUGGAAUUAUAGGCAUGAGCCACCGUGCCUGGCCUGUUCCAUGCAUUAAAAAAAAAUAAAAAAAUUAAAAAAAAUCAGUGAGAACAAGAAGAAAUGUAAAUGCUGGGCUUUUCAUAUAAAUCCAGGGAAUUAUGGGACAGUUAGUACCCACCUCCCAGGGUAUUAUAAGGAUAAAUUCAUGUCAUCUUCCCAGCUCCGUAGCGUGCUUCUGAGCACACAGAGCAUGCUCCAUAAACAUUGCAUUAACGCAUGUGUGCAUGUUGUUUUCCAAAUGCAGACUUACUCAGACAUGAGCUGCCUUCUCCAGCCUCUGUAAAGUUUAAAGGACCAGCAGAGUGUGCCAUGUUUUAGGAUAGUGAUUGGUGGUUUUUAUUUUGGACUGAAAGCAUUUAUGUUGUGAGAAGAGUAUAGGUUUAAGGAACUGUGUGCUGUGGCACUUUGUCUAGUUGAGUGCUGCUAUAAGUGAUCUAGGGCAAGUAGGGUCAGCAUUAGCUGUGAAUGAAGCCAAUCCAUGGACCCCUUUCAAACCUGCAGAAUUGGCCAGGCAUGGUGGCUCAUGCCUGUAAUCCCAGCACUUUGGGAGGCCGAGGCGGGUGGAUCACUUGAGGUCAGGAGGUCGAGACCAGGCUGACCAACAUGGAGAAACCCCGUCUCUACUAAAAAAUACAAAAUUAGCCGGAUGUGGUGGCACAUGCCUGUAAUACCAGCUACUCGGGAGGCUGAGGAAGGAGAAUUGCUUGAACCUGGGAGGUGGAGCUUGUGGUGAGCUGAGAUUGCGUGCCAUUGCACUCCAGCUUGGGCAAGAAGAGCGAAACUCCAUCUCAAAAAAAAAAAAAAAAGAAAAAAAGAAAAAAAGGGAAAAAAGAAAACAUUAAAUGCAGCAAGAUGCAGGUCAGAGCAUACCUCCAUUUGUGUGCUCUUGUGGACAAAAUUUAAAUGGCAAAUAAGAUUUUGCAUUUAUUGACGUUUUUCUUUACAUUGCUGUAAGUACAAAUACCCAUUUAUCCUUUGACCUCCUAUAUCUUUAUUCUGUAUGCAUAUGAAAAAAAAUGCUAGAUCUGUAUCUAGAUUAUACAUGGGUAAACACAACAUAUAGAAUUAUAUGACUUUGCCUAUGUAGAUAUUUAUGUAUACAAUAGAUAUUAAUCAACAUUUUAAAUUCCCCAGCCUACACUGCGGAUGCAGAUAUAAACUUACUCUCACCUAUAUGGAUCCAUACCAUCUCAGACUGGAAAACAGCCAUACAAGGUUAUGUUUAAACAUCAAUAAAGCUUCACAUAUAGGUGCAUGGCCUGGGAAGUAUGUUUUUGGUAAAGCCAUCUUAGACUCUAGUUCCAGCUUAGCAUUUCAGGGCCCUGCUUCCUUUCUCACUGUAUGCCUGUGUGAUUCACAUUUGCCAUUUGGGUCGAUUGACUUAUAUCCAUCUAAGCUGAUCUAAGUGGUUUAUUAAACUCAUCUGGGCUGCAGAAGUUGAGAAGGAAAGCAACCUCUGACCUACUUAUUCUGAGGCUUGUCUACAGGACAUAUGCAAUAAUGGGAAUUACAUUGACAUACCUAUGUUACCCAUUUUCUGUUUUUUUUUUUGAGAUGGAGUUUCACUCUUGUUGGCCAGGCUGGAGUGCAAUGGUGCAAUAUCAGCUCACUGCAACCUCUGCCUCCUGGGUACAAGCGAUUCUCCUACCUCAGCCUCCCGAAUAGCUGGGAUUACAGGCACCUGCCACCACACCUGGCUAAUUUUUUGUAUUUUUACUAGAGAUGGGGUUUCACCAUGUUGGCCAGGCUGGUCUCGAACUCCUGACCACAGGUGAUCCACCCACCUCGGCCUCCCAAAGUGCUGGGAUUACAGGCAUGAGCCACCGUGCCUGGCCUUUCUGUGUAUAUGUUUAUCUAGCCACCGAUAUCAUAUCUAUAUGUAUAAAAAAGACCACCAAAGUGCUCAGAGGUGAUUUUUAUUUUCCAUUCAGGCCAAGUAAAUCCAAUCAGCCAUUAGCUCAGUGAAGAUUUGUCAAAUCCAAGCCACACACCAAAUCACGUUAUGCUAAAUGUGAAAAUGUCCUCAUUACUGGGCACCAAGGUGUUUUAAAUUCAGAGUCUAAUCAAAACAGCUCAUGGGGUUCUGUCCAUCCAGCUAGGACGCUUCAGACAUACCAGUGGGCCUAACCUUUUUCACAAGGAGCUCUGGCCUGGCCAACAAGAAUCACCUUUGGUGCUUCAGUGCAGUGUCACCAUCACCUGUUUGAAAUGCAGCCAGGUAACAUGUACCAUUUUAUUUGCUUUCAGUAUCACAGUCUAUCUUCUAAUAAGAAACCUAGGCCUCUGGCUGGGUGUGGUGGCUUACACCUGUAACCCAGCACUUUGAGAGGCUGAGGUGGGUGGAUCACUUGAGGUCAGGAGUUCGAGACCACCCUGGCCAACAUGGUGAAACUCCCAUCUCUACUAAAAAUAUUAAAAUUAGCUGGGCAUGGUGGCAUGUGCCCUCUAAUCCCAGGUACUAGGGAGGCUGAGGCAGGAGAAUCACUUAAAACCGGGAGGCGGAGGUUGCAGUGAGCUGAGAUGAUGCCACUGCACUCCAGCCUGGGCAACAAGAGUGAAACUCCAUCUCAAAAAAAAAAAAAAAAAGGAUUUUUUUUUUUUUUUUUUUCUGUGCUGGGUUUACUUAGCAUACCUUUCAGAUUCAUGAAUGUUGCAAAUAACAAGACUUUAUUUUUAAGGGCUGAAUGGCAUUUCAUUGUGUACAUAUACCACAUUUUCUUUCUCCAUUCACCUACUGAUGAACACUCAGGUUGAUUCCAUACCUUAGUUAUUAUCAGUAAUCCACUUCCUUCCCUUUCAUUUGUGUUUGUUUUGUUUUGUUUGAGAUGGAGUCUCAUUCUGUCACCCAAGCUGGAGUGCAGUGGCGCGGUCUUGGCUAACAGCAACCUCCGCCUCCCAGGUUCAAGCAAUUCUCCUGCCUCAGCCUCUCGAGUAGCUGGUAUUACAGGCACGCACCACCACGCCCAGAGUUUCACUCUUGUUGCCCAGGCUGGAGUGCAAUGGCUCGAUCUUGGCUCACCACAAGCUCCAACUCCAGGAUUCAAGCGGUUCUCCUGUCUCAGCCUCCUGAGUAGCUGGGAUUACAGGCAUGUGCCACCACGCCCGACUAAUUUUUGCGUUUUUAGUACAGACAGGGUUUCACCAUGUUGGUCAGGCUGGUCUCGAACUCCUGACCUCAGGUGAUCCACCCGCCCGGACUCCCAAAGUGCUGGGAUUAUAGGUGUGAGCCACCAAGCCUGGCCUAUAACAGAAAUUUCUAAAUAUUUAGAAAAUACUUUCAAUUUGUAGGUUUCUUAAUUUUACUACUGGGUUCUACUAAAUCAAAAAUUGGUGGUGGCAAUUAGAUUUUCAGGUGGGGGCAACAAUAUUUUAUGCCACUAAAUUUUUGGAAUUACCACUAAUUUGGAGUGAAGAACACAGCUCAACUCAGGAAUGUGGAAAGUUUGGAUUAAGAUGAAACAUCAUGAAGAAAUUCUUUUCUAAAUGAAAAAAUUCUGAAGAUUUUUCUGGAAAAAGGAGAUCUGAAACUCUUGUAUGCAAAGAAUAAAUUACUAAAAAACAUUCUACAAAAAAGAGAAAUAAAACCUUUAGAGUAAUAUUAUGAAUUAUGUACUCAAGUUAUCCUCACCAAGGAAGAUCAGGUUUCUGUAGUUCUCUAACAUCACAUCCCUAUAUAGAUUCCGCUGUGCAGCGUCCAGGCAAUGCCACUCCUCCAGAGAGAAUUCUAUGGCCACAUCUCUAAAUUGCAAUGGUCCCUGAAAAAAACACACACACUUAUUUUUACCAAGUGGCCAUGGGUGGAAUUUUUAAUUUGACUUCAGGUGAAAUGAGAGAGUAAAGAGAAGUGGUUCUGACUUAUAGGACUAAAAUUAUCCAAUAAAAUGAUUUUCAACACAGAAAUAUUCUCUAAUGUAUUCUCUAACUCUGAGAAGAAAGAGCAGCACAAGAUCCACAACAUCAGUUCACAUAUGAUAUUUUUCUAGAUAAUAAAGUAUAAAAUUACGGCCAUGAACACGAACAUGUACAUUUUUGAGUGGUAUAUUUACAUCAUACGGAAUGAGCAGUGAAUAUUUUUCAGAUAGAAAAGAAAUGUUGGGUUAGAAGGCACCUCUCAAAUUUUAAUAUGUACAAUAAGCUGACGACCUUGUUAUGCAGGUUUUUUUUUCCAGAAGAUCUGAAAUAAAGUCUUUCUUAUUUAUUUAUUUAUUUAUAGAUGGAGUUUCGCUCUUGUUGCCCAGGCUGGAGUGCAAUGGCGCCAUCUUGGCUUACUGGAAACACCGCCUCCUGGGUACAAGCAAUUCUCCUGCCUCAGCCUCCCGAGUAGCUGGGAUUAGUCAUGCGCCACCAUGCCCAGCUAAUUUUUUUUUGUAUUUUUAGUAGAGAUGGGGUUUCUCCAUGUUGGUCAGGCUGCUCUUGAACUCCCAACCUCAGGUGAUCCGCUGCUUCAGCCUCCCAAAGUGCUGGGAUUAUAGGCGUGAGCCACCGCGCCCGGUCAAUUUUUUGAAUUUCUAACAAGCUCACCAGUAAUGCCAAUGUUUUUGGCCCCAAAAGGAUAUUUUUUCAAACAUUUAGUAAGUGGAAGAGCCUGUGUUUUCCCCCACAUUUUCUAGCCUAUAAACAAAGAGCCCUCAUUUAUCAAAGAAAAUAUGUAGGAAAAAAAUAAGAAAGGACAGCUGCCAGAUUAAAUGUGAUGGUUUAUGCACAUCAGCUGCAUAAAGAUACUUAAUAAUAAAAAUAACUCUAUAGUGAAAAAAAUCUCUCAGGGAGCUACUUAACCAAGUGAAUCAUUAACCACUUUUUUUUUUUUUUUUUUUUUUUUUUUUUUUUUGAGACGGAGUCUCGCUAGGUCGCCCAGGCCGGAGUGCAGUGGCGCGAUCUCGGCUCACUGCAAGCUCCGCCUCCCGGGUUCACACCAUUCUCCUGCCUCAGCCUCCCGAGUAGCUGGGACUACAGGCACCCGCCACCAGGCCCGGCUAAUUUUUUAUAUUUUUAGUAGAGACGGGGUUUCACCAUGUUAGCCAGGAUGGUCUCGAUUUCCUGACCUCGUGAUCCGCCCGCCUCGGCCUCCCAAAGUGCUGGGAUUACAGGCGUGAGCCACUCUGCCCAGCCAAUCAUUAACCAUUAACUGCACUAGGACAAAUUUUUAUGAUAUGCUAAUGCUCACAGAAGAACACAGCAUCACUGUUGAAAUACUCCCCCCAAAAAAGUAAAUUAUAGUCUGAAUUUAACCAUAAAGAAACAUCAGUUUUAGGCCAGGCGCAGUGACUCACGCCUGUAAUCCCAGCACUUUGGGAGGCACGAGGUGGGCGGAUCACGAGGUCAUGAGUUCGAGACCAGCCUGACUAACAGGGUGAAACCUCAUCUCUACAAAAUACAAAAAUUAGCCGGGCGUGGUGGCGGGCACCUGUAAUCCCAGCUACUUGGGAGGCUAAGGCAGGAGAAUUGUUUGACCCCGGGAGGUGAAGUUUGCACUGAGCCAAGAUCGCGCUACUAUACCCCUGGCCUUGGUGACACAGCGAGACUCUGUCUCAAAAAAAAAAAAAAAAAAAAGAAACAUGUUUUAUGCAAACUUUAAAAUACAGAUUACUCCUCUGUUCUGUAAUUUUUAGUAGUAAUUUUAAGUAGGCUUCACUUAGCUCCCUAGAGAGCAGGUAUCUCUUAAUAAUUUUUUUCAGAACUUUCUGGGUAAUAAAUGCCAUCUCAUUUAAAUAAGCAUUUUCUUAAUCUCGUUCUGCAUAGAGCUAAUAGAACACACAGAUGGAGCCUCAACAUUACAUGUUCUCCAUCUUUACUAAGGACCAGAGUUUUACCCAAUAGAAAUCUUGAGUAUCCACAUCUUUCCAUGUUCAACAGCCACAAAGGAAACAUUUUUAAUAUUGCAGAUUAUAAAUUAUUGCUGAGAAUCCUGCAUAGCAUAUAAGAAGCUAUGAUGCAGAGAAUAAAGAGAAGGCUCUGAGAUACAGGAAAGAAAUAUUUUUCAGAGACCCUUGACUAUCAUAAGAAUUUUAACAAGUAGUUAAACCAAACUUAUUAGGGCAGAAAAACACAAGUAGAGAAGUAAAGUUUUGUAAGUACUAAACACAAGGCAGUCCAGGAAGCAGAGUGGACACAGCUCUUCAUCUGAUGCAUGUUUACCUGAAGGGGAAGUUAUUUUUUUUCUUCCUCCUUCUUCUCUGGAAUUCAUUCUCAGAUGAGACUCUCUGAAUAAAUUACAUCUGCAUCUUGAGAAUAUGCUUUAAAGGUGUCAGUAUUACAUGUUUACCUGAUAGCAUGACAUCAAUUGGCAGAAAAACAAAAGGUUAACCCAUUUCUGUCCUUUAAAACAGAAGAGAUUCAGGAACAAUGAGCUGCUCCAUGAAAAUAAGAAUGUUUCUCCUUUCCUGUCCCCAGGUGCCCUCCCCUGCCACAGACACCAGCAAUUUCUGCUACAGUAAUGGAAAUAUGUGCCACACUGACCUGUCCCUACCAAGUCAAAACAGAAUAGGCCCUGUGACCAUCCUUUAGUGCAAAGGUGGAACUUAACUCUCAUGAAUGUAUUUUGAAGCCCUCAUACCUGAUUCUGGCCUCACCUUAGAGUCAUAUGAGGCACUUCAUUAAACAACAUGGAUGCUUCCACACACAACAAUAAACAGAAGCUGUGGGGAGGGCACAAGAGAUUUCUGCAAAUUGGCCAUGAGAUCCUAAUGAGAAGCCUGGGCUGAUAACCACUAAGCUAAGCAUUGCCUCUCAAGCUUUAACGAGCUUAUAAAUCACUUGGUAAUUUUGGCCCCACUUUAUGUAGUGUGAUUUUGCAGGUUUGAAAAGGGUCCAUGAAUGGGUGUUUUAAACAAGUUCCCUGUCAAUGCGGAUGUUGCUCCCCCUUAGCUCAUUAUUAGCAUUAGUUACAGAAGCAGGAACAACACAGGGUCCCUUACACUCAGCACUCUUGUCACAACCAAAUACUUCUGGUACAGAUAAGGACAACCCAUCUCCAUCCUAAAGUUUUAUAUUCUUUGCUGGUUCUUUACAGACAAAACAGAAGGCAGCAAUGUCUGAGUAAGUCUUGAUUUAAAAAGCAACAUGUACACAUUUACUAAUGCAAUGUUUAUUAAGCAGGUACUAUGUGCUCAAGAGUAUGAUACAGAGCACUAUGCUGGGUAUUCUCAUAACAUCCUGGGAGCUGGCACUAAGGGUUUAAUAAUUUCCAGGAUGUAGUUAAAGGUCCCAGCAUUUUUAUUUCUUCUAUUUAUCGGUCAUCAAAAUUUUUUUAAAAAUUGUAUAGAAUAAAAGCUAAAUAUAGACAGAUGGAAGAGAUAUAGAAGGAAGAGUUUAAUGUAUUAUAGAGAUAAUUUUAUUCUAUUCAUAUUUACUUUUUUGUGACUUAUGGAGCAACUACUGGAUCUGCAGGAAUAGAAAACAAGUUGCUAAUUAGAAUGUUUCUGCAAGCAUUGGUUUUAAUACAACAUUUAAAAACUAAGACCCUAAAAUACAUACUUUAUUUUUCUCAUUUAUAUGCUUUUGGGUUUCAGAAAAUUGUGAGCACCAGCUCUAGAAAUGCAGUAGGAUUUACCAGCCAAAACUCUGAUCUCUUCUAAUCAGUUCUGUGAGGCAAGACUCCAUGGUAGGGUCAGAACUAAAUAGUCUCCAAAAAGGGUGAAUCUGAAUAGGUCUGGGGCAGGGUGAAGACACUAUGUAGAAUUCUGUUCUCUAUGCCACUGGGGUACUUCCAGUUUUGUUUUUCCUAAGCUUACCUAAAAGAAAUGUAAAUCCAGAGUUUCUGCAAUUUUAAUCUUUUCUAGCCACUGCCCUGUCAACUUUAUACUAUAUACUAAUAUGCAAUUUAAACAAAUCCCUUAAGGUCUUCUAGAGUAACUUUUUUUGUUUUGAGAUGCAGUCUCACUCUGUCACCUAGGCUGGAGUGCACUGGUGCGAUCUCGGCUCACUGCAACCUCUGCCUCCCAGAUUCAAGUGAAUCUUCUGCCUCAGCCUCCCAAGUAGCUAGAACUACAGGUGUGCAUCACCAUGCCUGGCUAAUUUUGGUAUUAUUAGUAGAGAUGGCAUUUCACCAUAUUGGCCAGGCUAGUCUCAAACUCCUGACCUCAUGAUUCGCCUGCCUUGACCUCUCAAGUGCUGGGAAUACAGGCAUGAGCCACUGUGCCUGGCCUUUCUAGGGUAAUUUUAUUAGAAAAUAAAUACGUACACUUAAAGAAAAAGAAAUAGAAAUUAUACUGCUGGGUGUAGUGUCUCACGCAUGUAAUCCCAGCACUUUGGUAGGCCGAGGUGGGUGGAUCGCGAGGUCAGGAGUUCAAGACCAGCCUGACCAAGAUGGUGAAACCCCAUCUCUGCUAAAAAUACAAAAAUUAGCCGGAUGCGAUGGCAGGCACAUGUAAUCCCAGCUACUCAGGAGGCUGAGGCAGUAGGCUCACUUGAAUCAGGGUGGCAGAGGUUGCAGUGAGCUGAGAUUACACCAUUGCACUCCCUCUCAAAAAUAUAAAAAAAAGGAAAUUAUAAUAACGGUUCUUCUCUUCAUAAAUAUGCCUUCAGAUGUAGACAUCAGAAGCCACAACAAUAUAAAGUGGCCUAAAUAAAGCCCAAGAUUUUAGACACAUUGUAUUUGUUGUACCAACCAUAUGAUGCACAAUUCAAUUAUUUAUCCAGCUGCUAGUCUAGACUAAAAGUUUCUGGAUUGUAGGAACCAUGACUGCUUCAUGUUUUUUUUUUUUUAAAUGGCUAUAUGAAAUGGAAGCUACUAGUUUAUCUAUUUGGGUCUCCAGAUCUCCUCCUUGUUUAUCAUCCAAGUACCAGGAAACUGGAGAAACUCUCAUCUGGGUACCAACCAAAGACAUCUCUUGUAUGAGGGGAUGAACAAACACAGAUGACUCAUUUCUCUUACACUGAGACAGAAGCAGAAUUAACUCCUGUCAGCCUGACACAAUUCUGCAUGGGACAUCUCAAAUGCCUCAAAGACACCUAGGUGAUUUUGAAGGAAUUCCCAGUCACCCUGGGCCGCUGGCCCAAUGAUAAGCCAGGCUGGAGAGACUCAGGCUGAUUCUAAAUAGAAAAUGGAACUUCCCUGGUGGAACUCCACAACCUGGAUCACCCAUUCUGAUUUACUAGCUCUUGGGUAAGAGAAAGAACAAAAAUACUCUACUCCAGUAUCACAUUUUACAGGUGAAUAUAGUUGUGGUUGUGAUCAUGGCUCUGGAUACUUUGCAGCCUUGAUCUCUCACUACAGAUUAUGCCAUCACAUUCUAUUUCCUCCUGGAGCCUCUGACCUCACUGUAGCAGGUCAAUGAACAAGAUGUGAAACAUCUCAAAGAGCCACACUCCCAAUGCAGAAAAUGCCUUUUGUUAGUUUUCUGUACAUUCUCUAUCCAAAGUCUGGCCCUUUUUUAUCUGCAGAUUCUAGGUAGGAUCAACUUGGCUCUGUAUCCUUUGGUGUUACAGUAAGUGGAGUACAAUUAAAGGAGAAAUCUUAAGAAAAAGCUCAGAUUAGAUAUGAGAUUGAUCAAGUCAGCCAGAAAAUAUUCCCCUAAAAGCAAUUUCUCUCUCAACACCCAAAGUACACAGCUACUCUCAGCAUGAGAAACAUGAACAUUAUGGAGAAAGGGGGCAGAUUUUCAGAAUACUUUUAUAAAGUUUCUUUUCCAUCUCUGCUGCUCUCUCAUCUCCUAGCCAUUGAAUAGGGGUUCUAUAUUUAAAUACAUCUGACAACUUCCAACAACACUUUUUGAUGAAGAAAUAGAAUCUGACUGUGUUCAUAUAGUGGAAUACAUUAGAGCUUGCAAUAUAACUAACUAAAGAGCUAUGUUGGUGGUGUUUGGGUGGCCACAUCACCUGUCUUUAUUUGUCCUGUAAUAGCAGCAUUCCAAUUUAGUGAAAUAAAAGAUACUAAAAUUGUGUUUACUCAUAAUUAUCCCUAUUGAAUAAAGUAAUAAACAUGUCAGACUAAUAUCUACUAUAACAAUUUGGUAGUAAAUUUUCUUUGGAUAUUAGAUAUAAAUAUCUAAGCAUUAAUAAUUUUAAUGAACUAGUCAUAAUGUAUGUAGCAUUUUUAAAAAUUGCAACUAUAUUUCAAUUAAAACUUUUACACUUUCAAAAGUGUAAAUAAUAUUAAAAUAACCAUUUAAGUGAAAAGGAAUGCUUAUACUCUGCUGGUAGGAGUGUAAAUUAGUUCAACAACUAUAAAAAGCAGUGUGGUGAUUCCUCAGAGAACUAAAAACAAUUAUCAUUUGACCCAGGAACCUCAUAAUUGGGUAUAUACCCAAAGAAAUAUAAAUUAUAUUAUAAAGACACAUCCACAUGCAUGUUCAUUGCAGCACUAUUCACAAUAGCAAAGACACGCACAGGCUGUAAAUGCCUAUCAAUGGUAGACUGGAUAAAGAAAAUAUGGUAUGGUCAGAUGCAGUGGCUCAUGCCUGUAAUCCCAGCACUUUGGGAGGACAAGGCAUGUAGACUGCCUGAGCUUAGAAGUUUGAGACCAGCCUGGCAACAUGGCAAAAUCUUGUCUCCACAGAAAAUACAAAGAGAAAAACUGGCCAGGUGUGGUAACGCCCGCAUGUAGUCCCAGCUACUUGGGAGGAUGAGAUAGGAGAGAUUUGCUUGAGCCUGGGAAGUUGAGGCUAAAGUAAUCCAAUAUCAUGCCAUGGCACUUUAGUCUGGGCAAUAAGUGAGACCCUGUCUCCAAAAAUAAAAUAAAAUAAAAUAAAAGAUUUAGUAAAAACAAAAUAUGGUACAUCAUGGAGUACUCUGUGGCCACUAAAAAAAAAGAUCAUGUCCUUUGCAAUAACACUGAUGAAGCUGGAGACCAUUAUUCUUAGAAAACAAAUGCAGAGGCUGCGUGUGAUUGCUUAUACCUGUAAUCCCAGCACUGUGGGAGGCCAAGGGGGGUGGAUCACAUGAGGUGCGGAGUUUGAGACCAGCCUGACCAACAUGGAGAAACCCCGUAUCUACUAAAGAUACAAAAUUAUCCGGGGUUGGUGGCACGUGCCUGUAAUUCCAGCUACUCGGGAGACUGAGGCAGGAGAAUUGCUUGAACCCAGGAGGUGGAGGUUGCAGUGAGCCGAGAUCACACCAUUGCACACCACCCUGGGCAGCAAGUGCAAAACUCCAUCUCAAAAUAAUAAUAAUAAUAAUAAUAAUAAUGCAGAAACAGAAAACCAAAUGCAUGUUAUUAUUUAUAAGUAAGAGCUAAAUAAUAACAACACAUGAACACAAAGAGGAGAACAAAAGACACUGAGGCCUAGUUGAGGGUGGAGGAUGGAAGGACUAAGAGGUUCAGAAAACAUACCUGUUUGGUGCUAUGGGUAGUAUCUCAGUGACAAAGUAAUCUGCACACCAAACCUCCAUGACAUAAUUUUAGCUGUGUAACAAACCUACAUGUGUACCCUGAACCAAAAAUAAAGGUAAAAGAAAAAAAAAAAUCCCUGGGUGGGAGAGAGUGCAAUGUAGGUGAGAGGACUGAUUUUUGGUACAGAUAGUGGUCCCAGUGGGGCUGUACUCUAUUUAUUUCCGUGUGCAUGCAGGCAGGUGAGAUUAUGAACAGCUGGUCCAAAAUGCUAGGAUGGUGGAGAAAACAGGUUGCUGCUGCAGAUUCAGUGUCUGUGAGUGGGAAUAUGCUAGGAGACUUGUAGAGACUUGUGGAUUCUUGGCAAGAAACACUAGGAUCAAAAAUGCCAUUGUGGGCCGGGCGCUGUGGCUCAUGCCUGUAAUCCCAGCACUUUGGAAGGCUGAGGCAGGAGGAUCACGAGGUCAGGAGAUCGAGACCAUCCUGGCUAACAUGGUGAAACCCCAUCUCUACUAAAAAUACAAAAAAAAAUUAGCCAGGCGUGGUGGCGGGCACCUGUAGUCCCAGCUACUCAGGAGGCUGAGACAGGAGAAUGGCGUGAACCCGGGAGGCGGAGCCUGCAGUGAGCCGAGAUCGCGCCACUGCACUCCAGCCUGGGCAACACAGCGAGACUCCAUCUCAAAAACAAAACAAAACAAAAACAAAAACAAAAAAUACCAUUGUGAGGUUCCUGAGGGUGGUGCCGAGUCCCGGGAGGAGUGUGGACAUGUCAAUGUCUAGUGUGUGUGUUCGUGAGUGGGUGGGAAUCCUGUGGUGGCAGCUGUGGGAAAAGGGGGUCUGUCAUCAGAGCUUCUUUCCUCUACAUUUUCAGUCCUCUGUCACCCUGAGAGAAGACCUGGGAUCACAGGACAACGGGCAGUGUGACAGCCUGUGUACGACAGAGCAGAGCCUCCCAUUCCCAAUCACCCAAAGUUUUAUUCCAGGCCAGGCCUCCGUGGUAUCUUUUUUCUGGCACCAUAUCUGUAGAGUCUGCUGAACAUCAAACAAUUCUCCAACACUAACUUAUUGUCUCACAUUUGAAUUCUGACAGCACCCAGAGUCAUCGUAGACCCUGAUUCAGGGCUCAGUCCCGCAACAUUGUCCUCAUGGCAGAUGCCAGUCACAAACCCCAAGGGCCCAUCUAUGCUUCUGAGCUACUGUUUAAAACCUGGGGAGUCCCAUAACCUCUCUGAAGUUCAAUAAUUUGGUAGAGCUACUCACAGAAUCAUCAAAAUACUGUAGUUAUCUUUACUGGUUUAAUAUAUAAGAUGCAGCCCUGGAAAAGCCAAAUGGAAGAAAUGCACAGAACAAAGAAAAGAGAUGGGGAAAGAUGAAACACAUAGAUAAUCCUGGAAAAUUUUUCUGAUUAAUAAAAUUCUCCAUCCUUUGUGUGCUCCAGGAACAGUUUAUGGAAAGAAACACCCUUCCCAUUAUGAGUUAGAUGGUGCUCUCUUUUCUUACCUAUCACACAGCCAGACACACACUCUGCACAUUUUCUCUUUCUCAUUAAAAAAAAAUCAGCUGAAUUUGUUUUCAGUGGUCAUAAUGAAAUAUUUCUUUUCUUUUCUUUUCUUUUUUUUUUUGAGCCAGAGUCUCACUCUGUCGCCCAGGCUGGAGUGCAGUGGCACUAUCCUGGCUCACUGCAACCGCUGCCUCCCAGGUUCAAGCCAUUCUCCUCCCUCAGCUUCCCGAGUCGCUGGGAUUACAGGUGCCCACCACCACACCCAGCUAAUUUUUGUUUUUUCGGUGGUGUUUUUGAGAUGGAGUCUUGCUCUGCUGCCCAGGCUGAAGUGCAGUGGUGCGAUCUCAGCUCACUGCAAGCUCCAUCUCCCGGGUUCACACCAUUCUCCUGCCUCAGCCUCCCCAGUAGCUGGGACUACAGGCACCUGCCACCACGCCUGGCUAAUUUUUUUGUAUUUGUAGUAGAGACAGGGUUUCACCCUGUUAGCCAGGAUGGUCUCGAUCUCCUGACCUCGUGAUUCACCCGCCUUGGCCUCCCAAAGUGCUGGGAUUACAGGCUUGAGCCACUGCGCCUGACUUGUGUUUUUUAAAAUAGAGACAGGGUUUCUCCAUGUUGCUCAGGCUGGUCGCGUACUCCCAACCUCAGGUGAUCUGCUCAACUCGGCCUCCACAGGCUGAGUGCUGGGAUUACAGGCGUGAGCCACCAGCCUGGCCUAAAAUAAAAUAUUUCCUUUUUUUUUUUUUUUUUUUUUUUUUUUGAGGGGAGUUUUGCUCUUGUUGCCCAGGCUGGAGUGCAACGGCGCCGUCUUGGCUCACUGCAACCUCCACCUCCCAGUGGGAUUACAGGCAUGUAAGCCUGCAACAGGCAGCACCACGCCUGCCUAAUUUUUUUUGUAUUUUUAGUAGAGACAGGGUUUCUUCAUAUUGGUCAGGCUGGUCUGAAACCCCUGACCUCAGGUGAUCCACCUGCCUCGGCUUCCCAACUUGCUGGGAUUACAUGUGUGAGCCACCACGCCCAGCCAAAUAAAAUAUUUCUUAAUCAAACUUAAGUUUAUCUCCCUCCCUUGGGCUCCUGAACUUUGAGCUACCCUCAGUCUGAGUCAACAUACAACCCCAUUUUAUGUCCCUCCUAAGAACAUGCUGAUUUCAGUGUAAAACAUUCUCUGAUCUAAGAUCUGACUUUUUCACCCUCCAUUUGCCAUUCCCCUCCCACCUCCUUUCUAAUCUUGUUUGCACCUCCCUAGGAAAGAAAGUGUUUUUCUGCCUACACCUUUGCAAGCCAUAAAGAUCUUAUAGUUAGUUGGUAUUUCCUCUCGUUGCAAUACUUUUUUAGAAUUUUUUUUACGUAAAUCUGAUUUUUUUUUUUUUUACAAAGUCUAGAAAGUACCUCAAAACAAUAACAACUUCAUCAUCAGUAAGACUCUCUCAGUUUCCUUUCAUCUUAACCUCAACUGCAUCUGCCUGUGGAUCCCCAGCUUUCCAGGGCUCUGUGGCUUCUCUCAGAAUAAAGGCUUCUUCUAUGGCUGGGGUGAGCAGGCUGAGACAGCUGCAGGGGUGGCUCCUCAGAAAGAACUAACUGGGCCUUUAAUAACUUCCUCUCGCAUGCUUAACAUUAGCCUUAGCUUGGAGUCACUAGGUUCAAGCUUUAAUUUCCAUGUCAGAGUUAUUCACUUGGUUUUUGAAACUGUUUCAAUAGUCCUGUGAAAUUACUCAAACACAGUGUUUACGUAAGGGAAGGAAAUUUUAAGGUGCUUUUUUUUUUUUUUUUUGAGACGGUCUUGCUCUGUCACCAGGCUGCAAUGCAAUGGCCCGAUCUCAGGUCACUGCAACCUCUGCCUCCCGGGUUCAAGCCACUCUCCUGCCUCAGCCUCCCAAGUAGCUGGGACUACAGGCAUGUGCCACCACACCUGGCUAAUUUUUGUAUUUUUAGCAGAGACAGGGUUUCACCAUGUUGAGCAGGCUGGUCUUGAACUCCUGACCUCAAGUGAUCAACCCCCCUCGGCCUCCCAAAGUGCUGGGAUUACAGGCAUGAGCCACCACACCUGGCUAAGGUGCUUGCAUUUUAUACCUUCAUAAGAAAAGCAAAUAUAUCUACUUCUUUCAGACAACGUAUUAUUUUAUUAUUUAUAUUAAAAACAAUGUAGUAAAAAAUUAGUCAUAUGGGAACACUUCUAGAAGGUACCACAUUUCAUCACAUAUAAUUUAGCAUUAAACUCAGAAAUCAAGACAACAGGAAAUAGAACCAAGAUAUUCACUGUCACAAAUUUACCCUGCAAAAAGAGGAACUGAUGUUUUGACGAUCUAUAUAACUCAUCAAUUAUCUACCAGAUUUUCCUGUGGAAACAUUUUCAUUGUCUACAGACAAAAUGGAAGAGAGAUUUUCUCUACUUUUUUCCUUGGUAGCUAGCAUUCUUAAAGCUAAGGCUUAGAAUUCUGUUUGAAAUCACUCAGCCAUAAAAAACACAUCUGAGAAAAUUCCUGAACUCACUCUGGGAAAGAAAAAGGUAAAUGAGAAUUAUUAACAAAUAGAAUGAUUAGAAACUAAUUUUUUAAAACUCAUCUCUUUUAUGUGCUUUGUAAAUAUUUUUUUACCUUUCAAGCCCUACUAAUAAAAUGCAAAUUACAGUUAAAACACUGAUGCAGCUGAGUGCAGUGGCUCAUGUCUGUAAUCCCAGCACUUCGGGAGGCCAAAGCAGGUGGAUCGCUUAAGAACAGAAGUUUGAAGCCAGCCUGGUCCAUCUCUACUAAAAACACAAAAACUAGCCGGGCGCAGUGGCGGGCACCUAUAGUCCUAGCUAUUGGGGAGGCCGAGGCAUGAGAAUCACUUGAACCCAGGAGCCAGGGGUUGCAGUGAGCUGAGAUCGAGCCACUGCAUUCCAGCCUGUGCAACAGAGACUGUUUCAAAACAAAACAAAAACAACAACAGCACAAACACCUGAGGUUAAAAUAAGUGAACAAAUCUUUUCAAGGUACAGAUCCUAUCACCCACCCCAUCCUGUUCAGGUACAUGCUCAAUAACUACCCUCCCAGGAGACACCGCGCCAUGCCCCAGUGAGUGCCCCACGUGCAUUUUACUUUGUUAAGUUUUUACGCCCUCUCACUGGGGUCAGUUUUUUUUGUCUUUUGAAGUGUUUUUUCACUACUUUUCUGCUCCCCACCCAAGAGAAUCCAGGGGUCAGAAAUUAUUUGUUUUCCCCUCAAUACCAGCAUCUGAUUGUCUGACCAGCAAUGUGUCUCCAAGAAAUGGAAGCUAGGUUGGGUGAAGAAAAUCUUCAUGUCUCAAGGGGUUAGCUUUUCAAAAAAAAAAAAGAAAAAAGUGCACCAGGAUCUGCCUUUCAACCCCAAGGCUGCCACCUGCUCCCUUAAGAGGCUACACUCCAUACUUCAGGUAGUCCUAUGGGAGAAAAUGACCCAAGAGCUAACAGUCACUAGACACUCUAGCAGACAUAGCCAUGGUGGGUAUCUUGGUUUAUCCCCAGAAAGUACUAAAACCCAGGACCAGAAAAAAACUGAAGGUUGGCUGAGGACACAUCACCCUAUUAAGUUUCCAGAGGGUAAUCUUGACCCAAAAACAUUCGGUAAGUUCUCUGGAAAAAUAAAAGACAAAGAGGCACAGAUAUUUUUUACAAUACAGUGUCAGGGGAUUAUUCUUUGCUUUCUUCUCAUGGGAAAUAUUUACAAACAGAAAACAAAUCUUUUCAAUAGUGUUAUGCAAUACUUUUUAAAAAAUGACUAUUGGUCAGGCGCAGUGGCUCACGCCUGUAAUCCCAGCACUUUGGAAGGCUGAGACGGGCGGAUCACGAGGUCAAGAGAUAGAGACCACCCUGGCAAACAAGGUGAAACCCUGUCUCUACUAAAAAUACAAAAAUUAGCUGGGCGUGGUGGCACGCGCCUGUACUCCCAGCUACUCAGGAGGCUGAGGCAGGAGAAUCGCUUGAAUCCAAGAGGCGGACGUUGCAGUGAGGUGAGAUCGCCCCACUGCACUCCAGCAUGGCGACAGAGUGAGACUCCAUCUCAAAAAAAAAAAAAAGAUUGAGGAACAUGGGGUACACCUGAGGCCCUGCUUGGGACACAUGUGAAAAACGCCAGGGAAAAUCAGUCCCCUGUGGGAUGUGAAAAUAAUUAAGUGGCAGGCAAUUAGAAUGAGGAAGCUCUAGUCCCCAGAUUCCCACUUCUAAGGAAAAAAAACAAAACUCAAGUGUAUUCUUUGGUAAAUUACUACAUUAGGGGAAACAAAAUUCAGGCUUAAGCAACUAUAAACUGCCAAUUAAACUCUGAUUACAUAACCAGGAAAUUUCCAUCUCGAUUGUACAAAUUUAAAAACUACCUAACUAGGCUGGGCGCGGUGGCUCACGCCUGUAAUCCCAGCAAUUUGGGAGGCUGAGGCGGGUGGAUCACAAGGUCAGGAGAUCGAGACCAUCCUGGCUAACACGGUGAAACCCAUCUCUACUAAAAAUACAAAAAAUUAGGCGGGCGUAGUGGCGGGCGCCUGUAGUCCCAGCUACUGGGGAGGCUGAGGCAGGAGAAUGGCGUGAACCCAGGAGGCGGAGCUUGCGGUGAGCGGAGAUCGCGAGACUGCACGCCAACCUGGCGACAGAGCGAGACUCAAAUAAAUAAAUAAAUAAAUAAAAUAAAAUAACAACUACGUAACUAUACCUAAUCAAUUAUUGAAUUUGGUUUUCUUCAUCAUGCAUUUCAUAAAUGUCUUUUCUUCAAGCCCCUCCCAUGGACUACAAACAACAAACUGUAGCUGGGUGCUCUACAAUUCUUGAAUCACACUUUCAUUAAAUUAUUUGAUAUUUUUGCGGUGACUCCCCCCUCCCCGUUUGUGUUUUUUUAAGGCAGAGUCUUGCUCUGUCGCCCAGGCUGGAGUUCAGUGGCGCGAUCUCAGCUCACGGCAACCUCCGCCUACUGGGUUCAACAGAUUCUCCCACCUCUGCCUCCCCAGUAGCUGGGACUACAGACAUUUGCCAUCACACACAGCUAACUUUUGUAUUUUUAGUAGACAUGGGGUUUCCCCAUUUUGGCCAGGCUUGUCUUGAACUCCUGACCUCAACUGAUCAGCCCGCCUCGCCUCCCAACGUGCUGGGAUUACAGGGGUGACCCACCACGCCCGGCCCAAUAAAUUUUUAAUAGGAGAAAAGAGAAACUGUGAACCCCACGAACCAAAGCUCUUCCCAUUCAUGAACCCGCACCCCGAGUCAGGAUUCUCCCCUGACGACCUUCCCGUGGCCCCUGAACAAUCUGGGAAAGACCUGUGGGUGCAGAGCUGCCCGGAGAGGGUUCCACGCCAGGGCACAGUCACUGCGCAGGGAAAAGACAGGACACCCCGGGGACCCGCUGUCAACGCAGCCGCCAUGUUAUGGCUGGGGCGGAGCUGGGCAAUGAGAACUUGGAGCGCAGAUUGUGGAGCUGACUGCCGGGAGGCCUGAGUUCUGCCACUGCCACAGCCACAGCCACUUCCUCCCCAGUUCCAACCAGCCCCUCUCCCUCUCUCGGGAUGUCGAACUGGCACUCUCACCAUUUCUAGGCUUCCAGGGGGUCCCGGCGUCCUAGCUGUGACCCUCCUAAUACCUGCAGGUCACAGGGCCACAGAGGCUGGGCCUCUAGGAGCUGACGGCACAGAGCAGUGAAGACGAUAGCUGGAUCUCUGGCGUCAGCGAGAGACAAUGGGCCCGCCAAAGCCGGAAGCCGGAAACCGUCCUGUUCGCUACAGCUGCGUGGCUGAUUGGACGGUUUCCAGCCCAGCGUCCCUGAUUGGAUAAUGCUUGAGGCCCCGCCCCCUCAGGUCCUGAGUUACAGAAGACGUGAUCCGAUGCUGGACUGAGUGAAGAAAGAGAGACAGUCUAAGCUGCAGCCUUUUCUUUUUUUAAAAAAAUUUUAUUUAUUUAUUUUUUUGAGACGGAGUUUCACUCUUGUUGCCCAGGCUGGAUUGCAAUGGCGUCAUCUUGACUCAGUGCAACCUCUGCCUCCUGGGUUCGAGCGAUUCUCCUGCCUCAGCCUCCCGGGUAUCUGAGAUUACAGGCGCCUGCUACCAUGCCCGGCUAAUUUUUUUUUGUAGUUUUAAUAGAGACGGGGUUUCACCAUAUUGGCCAGCCUGGUCUCAAACUCCUGUCCUCAAGUUAUCCGCCUGCCUCGGCCUCCCGAAGUGCUGGGAUUACAAGCUUGAGCCACCAAGCCUGGCCAGCUGCAGCCUUUUCAAACAGGACUUCCUCCCUGAGCUGAGCCAGGCCCACCCCAGAGCAUGGGAAAAUUCUCUCUCUUUUUGACUCUCUCUCUUUUUGAAUAUAUUCAAAAGGUGAACGGAAGUAUUCUGCUGUCAUAUUAAUAAUACGUAAAAUUUUUGUUCAAGAGAAAAUCAACUUUUACUUUGGUAAUAGUGUAUUAUCAAUUAAAGCUAAUUUUAAUAAAACCUUAGAAAUAAAUUUGUCAUUUUGAACACUCCAGAUUUACAUAUAUAUUUUGUAAU